GUACACGUGUGUGUGUGUGUGUUUGUGUGUGUGUGUUGUAUGUGUGUGUGUGUGUGUGUGUGUACACGUGUGUGUAUUUGUGUGUGAGUGUACACGUGUGUGUAUUUGUGUGUGUGUGUGUGUGAGUGUGUGUGAGUGUUUUGUGCGUGCGCCCACCCCUCACGCCCACCCACUGCAACGUCCCCCCCCCCCCGCCCGUAAACAAAAGCCUGUCAUCAGAAUCGCAUUAAGAAA